rnacentral:lncRNA from 10 species
ACUGAGUCUCAGGGAGGUCAAGAGACAUGCCAAAGCACAGCUUGGAAGUGAGUGGACUACUACAUGGCCAGUAAAGAAAAGAACAAGGUGGGGCCGUGUGCGGUGGCUCAAGCCUGUAAUCCCAGCCCUUUGGGAGGCCGAGACGGCGGAUCACGAGAUCAGGAGAUGGAGACCAUCUUGGCUAACAUGGUGAAACCCCAUCUCUACUGAAAAUACAAAUUAGCCGGGUGUGGUGGCGGGCGCCUGUAGUCCCAGCUACUCGGGAGGCUGAGGCAGGAGAAGCGUGAACCCAGGAGGCGGAGGUUGCAGUGAGCCAAGAUGACACCACUGCACUCCAGCCUGGGUGACAGAGCGAGACUCCGUCUCAAAAAAAAAAAAAAAAAGAACAAGGUAGAUUAUAACAAUGGCCAACAUACAUAUAGCACUUACUGUGUACACACUAGUCUGAAAGUUCUAUGUAUUUUAGAAUAUCUGCACAUUUAUAAUAUUAACUCAUUUGAUUUUCUCAACAAUUAUCUGGUUACUAUUACUAGAAUUUUUUUAAAUCAGGAAAGAGAUGUUAAGUAACUUGUCUAAAGUCACAUAGCUGGCGAGUCGGGGAGCUGGGCUUCAAGUCAUCUGGCCUCAGGGUCUGGGUCAAUAACCACUACCCAAAUGCCUGUAUGUACAGGCAUGGAAAGAUGCUUUUGACAUAUGAUUAAGUGGAAAAUUCAAGUAGCAGAGAAGUAGGAGCUUAUCUUUUUCAGGUAAAAAGAAGCUGCAUGUGUGCAUGCCUACGUGAAUAUAUUUUAUAUAUUUGUAAUAGUAAAGGUUCUGGAAAAAUACGUGUUCAAUCAGCAAUUCUCAACCAGGAAGGGAGGUGAGAUGGGCUACAUAAAGAGGAUUUUGGCUGGGGGCAGUGGCUCAUGCCUGUAAUCCCAAUACUUUGGUAGGCCGAGG